UACGGAGGGUGCAAGCGUUAUCCGGAUUCACUGGGUUUAAAGGGUGCGUAGGCGGGCAGGUAAGUCAGUGGUGAAAUCUCCGGGCUUAACCCGGAACUGCCGUUGAUACUAUCUGUCUUGAAUAUCGUGGAGGUAAGCGGAAUAUGUCAUGUAGCGGUGAAAUGCUUAGAUAUGACAUAGAACACCCAUUGCGAAGGCAGCUCACUACACAGUUAUUGACGCUGAGGCGCGAAAGCUAGGGUAGCAAACGGG
rnacentral:rRNA from 1 species